CGGGUUCGAUUCUGGCUCAGGACGAACGCUGGCGGCGUGCUUAACACAUGCAAGUCGAACGAGAAUCUGCGGAAAGAGGAUUCGUCCAAUUGAAGCAGAGGACAGUGGCGAACGGGUGAGUAACGCGUGAGGAACCUGCCUCAAAGAGGGGGACAACAGUUGGAAACGACUGCUAAUACCGCAUAAGCCCACGGGUCGGCAUCGACCAGAGGGAAAAGGAGCAAUCCGCUUUGAGAUGGCCUCGCGUCCGAUUAGCUAGUUGGUGAGGUAACGGCCCACCAAGGCGACGAUCGGUAGCCGGACUGAGAGGUUGAACGGCCACAUUGGGACUGAGACACGGCCCAG
rnacentral:rRNA from 1 species